ACGACCAUAGCGCAUUGAAAACAUCGUUUCUUGUCCGAUCUCCGAAGUUGAGCAAUGAAGGGGCUGGCUGGUCAGUACUUGGGAGGGUGACCACUUAGGACCACCUAAUGCUGUAGGCU